GAGAGCGAGAGCGAGGAUGGAGGGAGGCGGCGCAACUUUGUACGCGGUCACGAACAUGGAGUUGCGGAACACCCCUUCCGAGAGGAAGGUUAGACAUUCCAUUCGCGGUUGCAGUGAGGUAGAAAGAAAAAGAUUUGCUGCGGAAGCGGAGGCGAAAGAGUACGACGGCUCGGAUACAGAUGCAAAGACAUUGCCGAAGUCACGCAUUGUCCUAUACCAUGAUCUGUUGCCGAGAUUAUGGGGAUGGGACAGGCUGGUACCACUCGAUAUUAUUUACGUGCCGUGGACUGAAUAUAUCAACUACCUUCAAGUAUAUUACAGUUACAAUGCUAAGCUUCUUCCUGCCACUGCAGCUGCCGCUGAGACUUGUCUCUCGAAGGAGAAGAAUCUUGCGGCUGCCUGGAAGAUCUGGAGGUCUGACAUGGAUAUUAUUGCACUGAGCAAAUCAAUCAUUCUGAAUUGCCUGAUCCAUGAGUGUGCGCAAUCUGUCAUUUGGACUGCAGGCUGCAGAUUUUCUGAUGCUUGCAGUGCUGCUGAUGGUAUAUAUGUUCCCCACCUGACCCUAACAAACCAAACACAGUUUUUUUCUUCUUGUAUUUGGCCCAGAAAUGCUGUAUAAUCCUCUCGAUGAUGCAUCCAAAUUAAGUGAAAGGGGAUUUUAUUUGGAAGUGACCCCCUCUUCUCUUUACUUAUAAUUUAACCUAUUAUCAUCUUAAUAUCUCUUUACUUAUAAUUUAACCUAUUAUCAUCUUAAAUCGGUUAUCGCUGUUCCCUAGGAAGCUACUUAUUGUUACAAGAUAAUGCUGUAGGUCCAAUGGCCAAGUGAUCUGAUCUCUCAACCUUGAAAACCCCCUCUCGAAAAGUUGGCUUGAAAACACUACUAUAGAUCUUAAUACUUUUGGCAGUCUAGAACCUGGUGCAUUUUCUAAUUUCCAACAACCUCAAUAUGACCUGCAGCAUGAAAUACUUCUUCCUCAAAUUAUGAGGUUGUUGACUUUGGAUACAACGUUUGACUAUUUGUCUUGUUCGAAAAAUUUAUGUAUUUUUCAAUAAGACCAAUGGUCAAACAUUGUAUCCAAAGGUCAAUGACCUUUUACUAACUAUUUGGAAUUUGGGACGGAGGGAUCGGAGUAGUUCCUGGCGCCUCCAUCUAUUUAGCAUUUGUCUUUAUCAAUAAAAAAACAUUGUUACUAUUUGUUUACUAUGUACUGUGUGGGAGCAGCUGCAAGAUAGUAAAUGUGGCCGAGUCUUCAGUUUUAUUGUUUCCUUUGUUAUCCAUAUGGGUAGCAUACGUCUUUACUAACAUAGUUGUAAUCUUGGGUAGCUUAUAAGAAAACUAGUCCAAAGGCUUUAUAUAAAGAAGAAAGUGGCACCUAGUUUAACCUUGACGAGUUGGCUGGUAUUUGGAUUAUUUUGCUUGGCUUUUACUAAAGCAACACAAUGUUUUCCAGUGCAUUUCCAAAGAGGCUGACCUGACAUGUGAGUUGAUGUGGCGUGGCGCUGAUCCCAUGGUUGACUACUUAUUCGAACAGAGCAGUGAGAUACGCUUGUGUGCCUUGAGCCUUAUGAGGUGCCAUCCAUGUUAUACUGUUGCCAGUGGCGGAUGCAGGAUGGGAGACAAGGGGGCUGAAACAAUGGAGAUGUUGAUUUGUGUGAAGAUUUAAUGGUGAUUUGAGACUCUUGCUACAGUAAUUUAUGUGUAAUUAACUGCUCUUAGGGUGGUGCUGGAGCCCCCCAGCCCCCCUUUAGAUCCGCCGCUGACUGUUGCUGCCUCUGCUGCCAUGUUGGUAUGUGCCUGCCUGCAAAAACCUACUUAAUAUUAUGUUCCAUACACCUUUGUUUUUACUAGUAAGUUAUAUCAGUACAAACUACAAACUGAUGGGUGGCUUUAAUUGAAGGGUAUUGCAAAGGAGGCCCAAGUGAUGUGUGACUGGAUGAGAGAAGAGAACACACGCAUUGACUUUGUGCAUGGUGACUUCAUACCUAAAAUACUUUUGGACAGCCGCAGAAUCCGGCGCCGAACCUUGGAAGUUAUGAUUAAAAUACUAGAAGAGUCUUCAACUGAUGAGCAUGGAGGUGUAAACAAUAUUCCAUUCGAUUUCAUUCUCAGAAUGUGCUUUUCUGAUGUA